rnacentral:rRNA from 1 species
CAAUGCCGCGUGUGUGAAGAAGGCCCGAGGGUUGUAAAGCACUUUCAAUUGUGAGGAAGAAUGAGUAGUUAAUACCUGCUUAUUUUGACGUUAACUUUAGAAGAAGCACCGGCUAACUCUGUGCCAGCAGCCGCGGUAAUACAGAGGGUGCAAGCGUUAUUCGGAAUUACUGGGCGUAAAGCGCGCGUAGGCGGAUGAUUAAGUCAGUUGUGAAAGCCCUGGGCUCAACCUAGGAACUGCAUCUGAUACUGGUCAUCUAGAGUUUAGGAGAGGGAAGUGGAAUUCCAGGUGUAGCAGUGAAAUGCGUAGAUAUCUGGAGGAACAUCAGUGGCGAAGGCGACUUCCUGGCCUAGAACUGACGCUGAGGUGCGAAAGCGUGGGUAGCGAACGGGAUUAGAUACCCCGGUAGUCCACGCCGUAAACGAUGUCAACUAGUUGUUGGCCCUAUUAAAAGGGUUAGUAACGAAGCUAACGCGAUAAGUUGACCGCCUGGGGAGU